CUCCUACGGGAGGCAGCAGUGAGGAAUUUUGGACAAUGGGGGAAACCCUGAUCCAGCGACGCCGCGUGAAGGAUGAAGGUCUUCGGAUUGUAAACUUCUUUUGUUCGCGAAUAAGAAAUCUAUGGAAACAUAGAGAGUGAAUGUACCGAAUGAAUAAGCCACGGCUAACUUCGUGCCAGCAGCCGCGGUAAUACGAAGGUGGCAAGCGUUACUCGGAAUUACUAGGCGUAAAGGGCAGGUAGGUGGUUUGGUAAGUCUAUUGUGAAAGCUCCCGGCUUAACUGGGAGAGGUCAAUAGAUACUGCCAGACUUGAGUAUAGGAGAGGGUACUGGAAUUCCCGGUGUAGCGGUGAAAUGCGCAGAUAUCGGGAGGAACACCAAUGGCGAAAGCAGGUGCCUGGACUAUUACUGACACUCAGCUGCGAAAGCUAGGGGAGCAAACAGGAUUAGAUACCCUGGUAGUCCUAGCCGUAAACGAUGCACAUUAGACGUGAGGGGUAUCGACCCCCUUCGUGUCAAAGCUAACGCAUUAAA
rnacentral:rRNA from 1 species